CCCCUCUCAGGGUCACAUCUGGAGAGUUUCCGGUGCUCUACCAGUCUCUACUAGAGGAGGGAGAGUCAGGCAGGGGUAUAUCCAUUCCAUUGCUAGCUUGGGCAGUAGCUGGCAAGUGGAAGGCAAUCUGCUACAAGU